rnacentral:rRNA from 1 species
CGGACGGGUGAGUAAUGUCUGGGAAACUGCCCGAUGGAGGGGGAUAACUACUGGAAACGGUAGCUAGUACCGCAUAACGUCGCAAGACCAAAGAGGGGGACCUUCGGGCCUCUUGCCAUCGGAUGUGCCCAGAUGGGAUUAGCUAGUAGGUGGGGUAAUGGCUCACCUAGGCGACGAUCCCUAGCUGGUCUGAGAGGAUGACCAGCCACACUGGAACUGAGACACGGUCCAG